rnacentral:lncRNA from 1 species
GCAGUAAGAAAUGGAUGCAGGGAAGUGGAGCCUGUGUUGGGGGAUGCAGGAGGUCAGCAAGGAAGAGGCUGGAAAAAUGUGUCCUAUUGUCUCAGAUGAGGAACACCUAUAAAAACUUAAAUAUAGUAUGUAAUAUGUAAUUAUAUAAUGUGUAAUAUUAUAAAAUUAUAAUAUAAUAUUAACUAAUAUCUUAAUAUAUAUAAGCUUCAGAUUAUGGUUUCCUAUCUCUUUUAAUGCAUUUAUGUCAAUGUUGUUGAAAUAUUUGCAGAAUUGAAAACUUUGGACUUAAUGGGUUAAGUUAUUGGAAACUUGUAAGGACUAAAAUGUUAAUGAUUAAUAAUCUGUUAAUAUGUAACCUGCUGGGAGUGCCAACACUUUUUAAAAGGACUUUGGAGCCUGGAAGACUUUGGCUCAAAGCAUUGGCUGCAUUAUUCAGUGGACAUUGGCUGAGUGCCUACUAUAUACAGAGAACUGAAGUAGGUGAGUCCUAUGGAGAUCAUGGGAUUGAAUUGGAUAUAGAACCUGUGAUCAGGAGUAUCUAGGAUCCAGCAGAAGAGACAAGAACUCUGAUUCAAGAUAAAAGAGAUCAUCACCAUAAGAAUGGUAGAGGUAAACAUCUGACUUUCUGAGGGGGCCGGUCAAUUCUAACUGGGGGGGAAAAAGAGGUCUUUGUGGAGUCCCAUGAAUACUCCCAUCGAGCUGAUCUGGGUGUGAUCUGGAAAGAAAAUGACAAAAAGAAGGGCAUAGAGGCAGGAGAUCCUAGGACAUGUCUGAGAAAACGUGAAUAGUUCCGUUCGGCUCAAAGGAGGGUAAGAAUCACGGGAAAUAGAGUUGGAAAAUUGGGUUUGGAGUGAAAUAUCCACCUACCAUACUGCCCAACCAUUCCUCUCCUAGGCUUUUACUCAAGAGAAAUGAAAUCCAUGUCACUCGAAGGUUUAUGCACAAUGUUCACAGUAAGCAGAAAUGAGAACAGCAGCAGGUUCAUCUGGGAGCACCACACUGCUGUCUAGAGGGAAGAGGUCCUGAGGUACCCAGCAACGUGGAUCCUCACCUGUCAUUAAUGUGAUUGUGAAUGGAAAAAUAUGUGUGAGGGGGAGACUGGCUGUUUUGGGGGGUUUUGUUAUUUUCUGUACAGAAAGGUUGAAAAAUACAAAAUUUGGAAUUGUUAAGACUGACUGCAGUUUUGACUUGUCAAAAUAAAGACACAUUAAAAAAAAUAAAGAAUGAGAGG